rnacentral:misc_RNA from 1 species
GAUGAAGAACGUAGCGAACUGCGAUAAGUAAUGUGAAUUGCAGAAUUCAGUGAAUCAUCGAGUCUUUGAACGCACAUUGCGCCCCCUGGCAUUCCGGGGGGCAUGCCUGUCCGAGCGUCAUUGCUGCCCUUCAAGCCCGGCUUGUGUGUUGGGUCGUCGUCCCCCCCGGGGGACGGGCCCGAAAGGCAGCGGCGGCACCGCGUCCGGUCCUCGAGCGUAUGGGGCUUUGUCACCCGCUCGAUUAGGGCCGGCCGGGCGCCAGCCGGCGUCUCCAACCUUCUAUUUUACCAGGUUGACCUCGGAUCAGGUAGGGAUAUCCGCUGAACUUAAGCAUAUCAAUAAGCGGAGGA